rnacentral:miRNA from 2 species
CUCCUGCCCUCCUUGCUGUAG